ensembl:lncRNA
GUGAGCAUCUGGCCCCGACCUGGUAAAGGGUCGGUUUCGCCCAGCAGUAAGCCCUACAUGUGGACAGAGGACGAACACCGGACGAGCGAACGGAGACUACAUGCAACAAGUGGUGACCCCGACGUGAUCUGUCUGCUGAGGGUGGCUGCCCGGCGUGCCCGUGACGCGGUUAAGAGCCUGCGAGGUGGCGGCAGGUCGCAUGCGUAACAAUGGACCAAGUCAUUAAGGUACUUGUGCAGUUUUGUAAGGACUACUGUGGAAAAUCUGCUCCUUCCCGGAAGGAGAUCGCGGCAGUUUUGUCGCUAUUAAAUGAGCUGGGGGAGCUGGACUCUCCCCGCUACGUUUUGGAUUCGAGUAGGUGGGACUUGCUCACCUCGGUGCUAUGCCAGCGCGCCAUGGCCAGUCAGAAGGCUACGGAACUUAAAACGUGGGGACUGAUAUUAGGAGCCCUUAAAGCGGCCAGAGUUGAGGGAAAGGUAUUGGUGGAGGCUCGAUACCUUUUGGGUCUCAGCGGAGGAGGUGAGACACAGGACCCGGUCGGGUCCGAUGGGGGUUCGGGAGCAGUUUCUUGCAGGGGCCGAGAGGAGACGGAGCCGCCAAUGACCGUUGGCGGGAUGGCGCCGGCUGAGCCGACCGCGCUCAGUUCAAAAGAAGACAAACAACAAGAGAGUGAAAGUUCGUUGUCUCGUCCCCCUCCCCCGUAUCCGAACCCCUCAGGCGGAACGUUGUAUCCUUUAUCAGAAUUACGUCAGUGUUACCUGACUCAAGGGGGCGGAGGAAGCUGUGAUCUACACGGGCAGGAUCAACUUAGUGCCCACAUGGGGAGGGACCAGACAAAAGGUCCGUCCAAAGCGGACAGGGGGCAUAGCCUACUGUCUCUGGUCACUCCCAGGGGCGGUAGUGCGAGUGAUAGUGUAGAAGAGAAAGAAGGGACUGGCUUUGAGUGCAGGGGGAGGGAUCAAAUGACGGACUGGAAUGGGAUUAGAUCGGAGGCUUUGGGAAAGGGUAUAGUUCCAGAGGCAUUCCGGGUGAUUACCGAAGCCAACUCCAGAACAACUGAGGGACAGACGAUGGGAUCAAGAACCACUCGUCAAGAGGAGCACUACACCUGCAACGCUGACACUUCCAAUGUUGCUGAUAUUUAUGGUGUCCAUGGCGAUUACAGAGUGUCACAAACAACUACAAUGGACACAAGAACAUAUGCAGAAAAUUAAAGAAGAGCGUGAUCCCUUUGGAAGCUGGCUGGACGGACUGUUUGGGGGAAUGGGUUCAUGGUUAAAGCAAUUGCUUAAAGCUCUCGCAGUAGGAUUUGCAAUCUUUGUGUGUAUUCUAAUCUGUCUUCCAUGCUUUGUAGGAUGCUUGCAGAACUGCCUUCAACGAAUGAUGGAAAAGACUUUUGACUAUCACAUUGAGUAUCAUAGAUUGCGUGAAAAAUUAUAGAGGGGUUUAGGUUGUUGCGUUCGUGCUGUAACGGGGCAAGGCUUGGCCGAGCACGGAAAAGAAUUCCCUGUUGCUCUGAUGAUUGCUUAAGAACUGUAGUAGAAAAUAGUAGGAAUAGUGUGCUGAAAUAUAUUUAGGAUUAGGCGUUUUGCGCUGCUUCGCGAUGUACGGGUUAG